rnacentral:siRNA from 1 species
CACAUGCCAACCGAUUGAUCGC